rnacentral:lncRNA from 1 species
UUUAAGGCAAAGAAUGAGUAUAUGGUAUUUUAUAUAUGAAACUUGGGCAACAUUUCCCCUCGAUUUUACAUAGUAAACGGGAGGGAAGAUUAUUUAUUUUUAAUGUUAAAAAAAGGAAUAUACAAUUUUAAAUAUAAAUAAAACACAAAAUUGUAGUUGUUGGGAAUAAAGAAUUUGUCCAUGCAAAACUUUUCCCAUCGGUUUUCCUCACAACCAAAAAAAAAACAGGUGAUAAAUUUUUUAAUUAAAAAUUAAAAUUAAAUUAAG